rnacentral:rRNA from 1 species
AAAUCCCAGAGCUUAACUCUGGAACUGCCAUCAAAACUUUUUAGCUAGAGUAUGAUAGAGGAAAGCAGAAUUUCUAGUGUAGAGGUGAAAUUCGUAGAUAUUAGAAAGAAUACCAAUUGCGAAGGCAGCUUUCUGGAUCAUUACUGACACUGAGGAACGAAAGCAUGGGUAGCGAAGAGGAUUAGAUACCCUCGUAGUCCAUGCCGUAAACGAUGUGUGUUAGACGUUGGAAAUUUAUUUUCAGUGUCGCAGCGAAAGCAAUAAACACACCGCCUGGGGAGUACGACCGCAAGGUUAAAACUCAAAUGAAUUGACGGGGACCCGCACAAGUAGUGGAGCAUGUGGUUUAAUUCGAAGAUACGCGCAGAACCUUACCAACACUUGACAUGUUCGUCGCGACUUUAAGAGAUUAAAGUUUUCGGUUCGGCCGGACGAAACACAGGUGCUGCAUGGCUGUCGUCAGCUCGUGUCGUGAGAUGUUGGGUUAAGUCCCGCAACGAGCGCAACCCUCACUUUUAGUUGCCAUCAUUAAGUUGGGCACUCUGAAAGAACUGCCAGUGAUAAGCUGGAGGAAGGUGGGGAUGACGUCAAGUCCUCAUGGCCCUUACGUGUUGGGCUACACACGUGCUACAAUGGCAUUUACAAUAGGAAGCAAAACGGCGACGUUAAGCAAAUCCUAAAAAAAUGCCUCAGUUCGGAUUGUACUCUGCAACUCGAGUACAUGAAGCUGGAAUUACUAGUAAUCGCGGAUCAGCGCGCCGCGGUGAAUACGUUCCCGGGUCUUGUACACACCGCCCGUCACACCAUGGGAGUUGGUUCUACCUUAAGGCAAAGGUUAAAAACUUUGACCACGGUAUAGUCAGCGACUGGGGUGAAGUCGUAACAAGGUAACCGUA